rnacentral:rRNA from 1 species
AAAACAACCCUACGGGAGGCAGCAGUGGGGAAUAUUGGACAAUGGGCGAAAGCCUGAUCCAGCCAUGCCGCGUGUGUGAAGAAGGUCUUCGGAUUGUAAAGCACUUUAAGUUGGGAGGAAGGGCAGUAAAUUAAUACUUUGCUGUUUGACGUUACCGACAGAAUAAGCACCGGCUAACUCUGUGCCAGCAGCCGCGGUAAUACAGAGGGUGCAAGCGUUAAUCGGAAUUACUGGGCGUAAAGCGCGCGUAGGUGGUUCGUUAAGUUGGAUGUGAAAUCCCGGGCUCAACCUGGGAACUGCAUUCAAAACUGACGAGCUAGAGUAUGGUAGAGGGUGGUGG